GAGGAUGUCCUGUGUGUGAAGUAUUCCCCAGACCAAAAAUUCAUUGCGGUUGCCUUGUUGGACAGUACGGUGAAGGUGUUCUUCGCAGACACACUCAAAUUUUUCUUGUCCUUAUAUGGACACAAGUUACCAGUACUGACAAUGGAUAUAUCAAGUGACAGCUCAUUAAUUGUGACUGGAUCGGCAGACAAAAACAUCAAGAUAUGGGGCUUGGAUUACGGUGAUUGUCAUCGUUCAAUCUUUGCUCAUGACAAUAGCAUCAUGGGAAUUCAGUUUGUACCCAAGACCCAUCUUUUCUUUACCUGCGGAAAGGAUGGUAAAUUGAAGCAAUGGGAUGCUGACAACUUUGAAAAUAUCACAACAU